UACCAAGACGCGUUUCGCCUUCUCCGUUGGCUUUCUCAAUUGGUAUUCUGUUGAUGUCCUGUUUUCCGGUUUUAAAAGAAGUUGUUUCUCCCGCCCUUCCUCUCUGCGUCCAAUCGUUCAUCCGAUAUCAAAUGAUCCUAGUUGCGGCUUCUAAUUGCCGUAACGUCAUUUCCGGUUCGCCGUCCAGAACUACAUUUCCCAGAAGUCUCUUCUCUGUAGUUCUGGCGACGUUAAAAGUUCAGAGCUCACUCCACCUCAGCGGGUGUGAGAUCGCUCAUGAAGAAACAGGGGUGUAUUUAUGGGGAUAGGAAGAGGGAAAAAAACAUCAUUUUACAGACUGGGAUAUAUUAAUCUUAUAUAUACAUUAAUUAUAAUUCUGUAAACUGUAAUCCAAAAUAGGAGACAUUAAUAAUGUUAGUUUAAAUGUACUGUUAUUUAAUAAUAGCUUUAAUAAGUGCAUAUCUAUUUCCUAACAUAGUAU